AUUGAACGCUGGCGGCAUGCUUUACACAUGCAAGUCGAACGGUAACAGGGAGCUUGCUCCGCUGACGAGUGGCGAACGGGUGAGUAAUGCAUCGGAACGUACCCAGUCGUGGGGAGUAACGUAGCGAAAGUUAACGCUAAUACCGCAUACGUCCUGAGGGAGGAAAGACGGGGACCGGUAAGGCCUCGCGCGAUUGGAGCGGCCGAUGUCGGAUUAGCUAGUUGGUAGGGUAAAGGCCUACCAAGGCGACGAUCCGUAGCGGGUCUGAGAGGAUGAUCCGCCACACUGGGACUGAGACACGGCCCAGACUCCUACGGGAGGCGAGCAGUAAGGAAUAUUGGUCAAUGGACGCAAGUCUGAACCAGCCAUGCCGCGUGAAGGAUGAAGGCCCUCUGGGUUGUAAACUUCUUUUAUCUGGGACGAAAAAAGGGAAUUCUUUCCCACUUGACGGUACCAGAGGAAUAAGCACCGGCUAACUCCGUGCCAGCAGCCGCGGUAAAGUACAGUG
rnacentral:rRNA from 1 species